rnacentral:rRNA from 1 species
UACGUAGGUGGCAAGCGUUGUCCGGAAUUAUUGGGCGUAAAGCGCGCGCAGGUGGUUCCUUAAGUCUGAUGUGAAAGCCCACGGCUCAACCGUGGAGGGUCAUUGGAAACUGGGGAACUUGAGUGCAGAAGAGGAAAGUGGAAUUCCACGUGUAGCGGUGAAAUGCGUAGAGAUGUGGAGGAACACCAGUGGCGAAGGCGACUUUCUGGUCUGUAACUGACACUGAGGCGCGAAAGCGUGGGGAGCAAACAGG